UAACGAAUAUUCCACAAUGCGCGAAAGCGUGAUGGAGCAAUGCCGCGUGUAGGAUGAAGCCUCUCGGGGUGUAAACUACUGUCAGGACCCAGGAAGACAUGACCGGGUCCAGAGGAAGAGCCGGCUAACUCUGUGCCAGCAGCCGCGGUAAUACAGAGGGCUCGAGCGUUGCGCGGAAUCACUGGGCUUAAAGCGUACGUAGGCGGAUUGGCAAGUACCUUGUGAAAUCCCAGGGCUCGACCCUGGAACUGCUUGGUAAACUGCCAGUCUUGAGCUAGACAGAGGUCGUCGGAACGAUAGGUGGAGCGGUGAAAUGCGUAGAUAUCUAUCGGAACGCCAAAGGUGAAGACAGGCGACUGGGUCUAUGCUGACGCUCAGGUACGAAAGCGUGGGUAGCGAACGGGAUUAGAUACCCCGGUAGUCC
rnacentral:rRNA from 1 species